rnacentral:tmRNA from 1 species
GGGGAUGAAAGGAUUUCGACGGGGAUUUUGAACCGUGAUAAGCGAGCAGUGGCGAGGCCCCACUAUAAAAGCUUCAAGUUUAGAAAUAAACGACAACAAUAAAGUUUUACUUGCUGCUUAAUUAAAGCAGCUGUUCCCUCAGGAAGUACUGCGGUCCUGAACGGAGCAUCAAGUAGCAGUAAAUGUGAAUGAGUAAUCGCCUUGUAGCUCAUCACACAUAACAAGGCUACUAAGGCUUAAAGCCUGUCGUUAGGCGUUAAGCUAAGGGAAUGUCAAUAUAACGAAUACGCUCGUAGAAAGUUGCGGGAAUGGAUUUUCGGACGCGGUUUCGAUUACCGCCAUCUCCACCA